UCCAGCCUAGGCGACAAAACGAGACCCUGUUUUGUUUUGUUUUUUUUUUUUUUUUUUGAGACAGAGUCUCGUUCUGUUGCCCAAGCUGGA
rnacentral:pre_miRNA from 1 species